AACGAACGCUGGCGGCAGGCCUAACACAUGCAAGUCGAACGCUGCAGCAAUGCAGAGUGGAAGACGGGUGAGUAACGCGUGGGAACCUUCCCAGUGGUACGGAAUAGCCCAGGGAAACUUGGGGUAAUACCGUAUAAGCCCCAUGGGGGAAAGAUUUAGCGCCAUUGGAUGGGCCCGCGACGGAUUAGCUAGUUGGUGAGGUAACGGGCCACCAAGGCGACGAUCCGUAGCUGGUUUGUGGGAAUGACCAGCCACACUGGGACUGAGACACGGCCCAGACUCCUACGGGAGGCAGCAGUGGGGAAUCUUGGACAAUGGGCGAAAGCCUGAUCCAGCCAUGCCGCGUGAGUGACGAAGGCCUUAGGGUUGUAAAGCUCGUUUGGCGGGGACGAUAAUGACGGUACCCGCAGAAUAAGUCCCGGCUAACUUCGUGCCAGCCGCCGCAGUAA
rnacentral:rRNA from 1 species